rnacentral:lncRNA from 1 species
UUGACAUAAUUUUAAAGACAACUUUUGCUUUUCAGGUAUCAUUACGAUGGAAUAUACAUCAAGAAAACUUCUUUCUUCUAUGCCCAGUAUUCAUACCUGCUGGGUGAGAAAAGCUGUCCCAGUGAAGAUGCUGUUGCCUUUGAAAAGUCUACUGACUACAGCAGCAUUAUUCAAGAGGAAGAAACCUGUGAAAACCGUUCACCGAUAAAGACAGACCCCGCUGGAUCUCCUCUGUCUGAAUUCAGAAGAUGUCCAUUUUGGGAGCAAGAGCUGGCAAAGAAACACUCCUAUAAAAUGAUGGCUGGCCUUGCUGACAAAUACUGCGACUAUUGUCAGGACAUCUUACAAAACGUGAGGAACCAAGAGCUCCAGAGGGUGGAGGACUUGCUCACAUCCUUCUGGAGAUCUCUGCAGCAAGACACUGUCAUGCUCAUGUUACUGCCUGACGUGCACCAGCUCCUGAAGUGCUAUGACGUCCAGCUGUACAAGGGAAUCGAGGACGCUCUCCUUCAUGAUUUCUUGGAAGAUGUUUCUAUUCAGUACCUGAAAUCUGUCCGGAUAUUUAGUAAGAAAUUUAAGCUGUGGCUUCUUAAUGCUUUGGAAGGGUUUCCAAC